rnacentral:misc_RNA from 1 species
GCAAACUUGGUCAUUUAGAGGAAGUAAAAGUCGUAACAAGGUUUCCGUAGGUGAACCUGCGGAAGGAUCAUUAACGAAUUUGAGAUUUUUAAUCUCUUUCUUCAAACACCUGUGAACGAUUAAAACAUUUUGCUUUGGGCUUAAUGAGCUUUCGAGCUUUUAGCCCAAAGGUUUUAUUCUAAACUCUUUAUAUUUUAACAUUUAUCUGAAAUUGAUUAAAUUAAUAAAUCAAAACUUUCAACAACGGAUCUCUUGGUUCUCGCAUCGAUGAAGAACGCAGC